rnacentral:rRNA from 1 species
CAGCAGCCGCGGGAAUACAGAGGAUGCAAGCGUUAUCCGGAAUGAUUGGGCGUAAAGCGUCUGUAGGUGGCUUUUCAAGUCCGCCGUCGAAUCCCAGGGCUCAACCCUGGACAGGCGGUGGAAACUACCGAGCUGGAGUACGGUAGGGGCAGAGGGAAUUUCCGGUGGAGCGGUGAAAUGCGUUGAGAUCGGAAGGAACACCAACGGCGAAAGCACUCUGCUGGGCCGACACUGACACUGAGAGACGAAAGCUAGGGGAGCAAAUGGGAUUAGAGACCCCCGUAGUCCCUGUCUCUUAUAC